GAGCUGUGAAUAACACUGAACACAUGUCUACUCAACUCAAAGUGUUAUCUAGAGGCAGUGAGCAGUAGAACACAGCAAGACACAACAAAAAAGAACUUAAUAAAUCUCAUCUUUAACAUUUAAA